rnacentral:rRNA from 1 species
UAACACGACAGUGAUUCGAGCGUCAUUCUCGCGGUGCUCCGAUGGCCUUCACACGUGGAUUUCUGCCCUAUGGUGGAGGAUAACCCCGGGAAACCGGGGAUAAUACUCCAUAAGUCAGGAGUACUGGAAUGUCUCCUAACUGAAAGUUGCGGCGCCAUAGGAUGAAUCUGCGGCCGCCCCGGUAGUUGUUGGGGUAACGGCCCAACUUUUUUUGUAAUCGGUACGGGUUGUGGGAGCAAGAGCCCGGAUUUUGAAUCUGAGACACCCCCUCCAGGCCCCCCCCGCAACCACCAGGCGCGAAAACUUUACAAUGCAGGAAACUUUCUCCCUUUGGAACCCCGAGUGCCCUCCACCCCCCCCCCUGUCCCCGGUGUUUUAAUCUUCUUUCUGAAGAAAGGGGCCGGGCAAGACCGGGUGCCCCCCCCCCCCCGUAAUACCGGGCGGCUCGAGUGGGUGACCACUUUUUAUUGGGGCUUAAGCGUUCCGUAGCUUGAUUUUUUAAGUCUCUGGGGAAAAUCUCACGGGCUUAACUGUGAAGGCGUCUAAAAAAAUACUGGGGAAUCCAGGGACCCGGGAGAAGGUAAGAGGUCCCUUCAGGGGUAGAAUGGAAAUUCCUGAUAAUUCCUUGGGGGGACACCCGAUAGGGCGAAGGAUUCUUUACCAGAAAGGGUUUCGAAGGUGGGAGGAACGAUAGCUGGGGGGGAGCGAACGGGACAUUAUUAUCUCGGUGUGUUUCUCUCCCUUUAAA